UAUUUAAGAGGAAUUCAGCGUCAUGUGGUUCUCAAGAGCUAAAAUGGAACAACAAGUGCAAGCCUGUCAUGCCUACACUAACUAAUCAGAUUUCCCGAGGGAGAAGAAGGAGGUGCCGAAAGGGUAUGGGAGUAACAAGUCUGAAUCGAAGAGUAUAUAUGUUUUGAUUUUGAGUUGCAUUGCCCAGUAUUUUUAUUGUUCUAAGAAAUCCAUGGAGAUGUCUAUGGAACAUUUCCUUGAUGUGAUAGGCAUAUUUGUUUACCACAUUCAGUUGUUGGCCCUGCUGUUGACGUCCAUGGUGGCGCUGAUGAUGAUCUUGGCAAGGAUUUGAUGUAUCUGCCUGGGGUCUUGGUAUGUCCUUGAGCACGCAUCAGGUAUGUAUGUAUCUGUUUGUAUAUUAGUGCAGUUUGUAGUUCAUUCGGUGCAUGUCCCUAAACCAAAGAAUUUUAGACAUCUCAAGUAGCAAAUUACAUGGUUUGGUGUGUCAUACAAGAUUUAAUAGAAAGCACCACCACAGCCUUGCGUGUGCUUGUAUAGCUACAUGGUGUUUCAGAGCAGCACUCUAUAAUUUGGCACAUGGCUUCAUGAUUUAUCGUAGCCGCUUCACAGGGUGCAUGCCUAUGAGUGUCUAUGUAUGUGCAUGUGUACUCGUCAUAGGACCGAGCUGAAACUAAUUAUGAUUAAUUUGCCCAUUCUGUGAUGUGCGCUUACGUGAAUACCAUUGGCACCUUUGUAAAUUCUCCAAGCUAAAUCCAAUAUUUCAGGUGUUCUUUGACCACUCAAUUCACCUUUGUAAAUUCUGAAAGCCAACUUUUUUGACACCAGGCCAAUUCAGUUAGUUACAAAAUUGCAGUAGCCAAAACACUCUUCAGAAUUCUGAUCAUCCUCUUCUUGCUCCCCUGAAUCUGUGUCAUCUAGCUCCCCUUCUUCCAGCUCCACCUAGAAAAUGGUAGAGCAUUCCUUGUAAAAUAGGCACAUACUUUUCAGCACAAAUGGAGUACGGAAACAAGAAAAAUACUUUGCAGGGAUAACCAGAACAUCAUUCUUAGGUUACCAAGUUGAUCCAAUUGCACAAAUAACUAACAGAACACAUUGUUGGGUCAAAUUAGAAAAUCCCAUCCAUCUCCCCAUGAACUGAAAGAAUUUGCAGGCCACAAGUGUCCGCGAGCAUCAAAUCAACACAUUCAAAGAACAUACGACUGCGGCUGAUCCGACAGCUAAGCCAAGAACUCAUAGCCCCUACGAACUGAGUGCAUGCAACAUGGCAAGAA